GAUGAACGCUGGCGGCGUGCCUAAUACAUGCAAGUCGAGCGAACGGACGAGAAGCUUGCUUCUCUGAUGUUAGCGGCGGAGGGGUGAGUAACACGUGGAUAACCUACCUAUAAGACUGGGAUAACUUCGGGAAACCGGAGCUAAUACCGGAUAAUAUUUUGAACCGCAUGGUUCAAAAGUGAAAGACGGUCUUGCUGUCACUUAUAGAUGGAUCCGCGCUGCAUUAGCUAGUUGGUAAGGUAACGGCUUACCAAGGCAACGAUGCAUAGCCGACCUGAGAGGGUGAUCGGCCACACUGGAACUGAGACACGGUCCAGACUCCUACGGGAGGCAGCAGUAGGGAAUCUUCCGCAAUGGGCGAAAGCCUGACGGAGCAACGCCGCGUGAGUGAUGAAGGUCUUCGGAUCGUAAAACUCUGUUAUUAGGGAAGAACAUAUGUGUAAGUAACUGUGCACACCUUGACGGUACCUAAUCAGAAAGCCACGGCUAACUACGUG
rnacentral:rRNA from 1 species